rnacentral:rRNA from 1 species
GUGUCAGCCGCCGCGGUAAUACGUAGGGUCCUAGCGUUGUCCGGAUUUAUUGGGCGUAAAGAGCUCGUAGGCGGUCCGGUAAGUCAGGUGUGAAAUCUCCACGCUCAACGUGGAGGGGCCACCUGAUACUGCCGUGACUUGAGUCUGGUAGGGGAGUGCGGAAUUCCCGGUGUAGCGGUGAAAUGCGCAGAUAUCGGGAGGAACACCAGUGGCGAAGGCGGCACUCUGGGCCAGUACUGACGCUGAGGAGCGAAAGCGUGGGGAGCGAACAGGAUUAGAAACCCGUGUAGUCC